rnacentral:rRNA from 1 species
CACUCCUGCGGGAGGCAGCAGUGGGGAAUUUUACGCAAUGGGGGAAACCCUGACGUAGCGACACCGCGUGAGCGAAGAAGCCCUUUGGGGUGUAAAGCUCUGUCAGCUGGAACGAAAACAAUGACGGUACCAGCAGAGGAAGCAUCGGCUAACUACGUGCCAGCAGCCGCGGUAAGACGUAGGAUGCGAGCGUUGUCCGGAUUUAUUGGGCGUAAAGAGUUCGUAGGUGGUUUGUUAAGUUUGGUGUUAAAGAUCGGGGCUCAACCCUGGGACUGCACUGAAUACUGGCAGACUCGAGUGUGGUAGAGGCUAGUGGAAUUCCCAGUGUAGCGGUGAAAUGCGUAGAUAUUGGGAAGAACACCGGUGGCGUAGGCGACUAGCUGGGCCAUAACUGACGCUGAGGAACGAAAGCCAGGGGAGCGAAUGGGAUUAGAUACCCCUGUAGUCC